UAGUUGGUGGGGUAAAGGCCUACCAAGGCGACGAUCAGUAGCGGGUCUGAGAGGAUGAUCCGCCACACUGGAACUGAGACACGGUCCAGACUCCUACGGGAGGCAGCAGUGGGGAAUUUUGGACAAUGGGGGCAACCCUGAUCCAGCCAUUCCGCGUGAGUGAAGAAGGCCUUCGGGUUGUAAAGCUCUUUCAGCUGGAACGAAACGGUACAUCCUAAUACGGUGUGCUAAUGACGGUACCAGCAGAAGAAGCACCGGCUAACUACGUGCCAGCAGCCGCGGUAAUACGUAGGGUGCGAGCGUUAAUCGGAAUUACUGGGCGUAAAGCGUGCGCAGGCGGAUUGUUAAGCAAGAUGUGAAAUCCCCGGGCUUAACCUGGGAAUGGCAUUUUGAACUGGCAGUCUAGAGUGUGUCAGAGGGGGGUGGAAUUCCACGUGUAGCAGUGAAAUGCGUAGAGAUGUGGAGGAACACCAAUGGCGAAGGCAGCCCCCUGGGAUAACACUGACGCUCAUGUACGAAAGCGUGGGUAGCAAACAGGAUUAGAUACCCUGGUAGUCCACGCCCUAAACGAUGUCAACUGGUUGUUGGGGGAGUGAAAUCCCUUAGUAACGAAGCUAACGCGUGAAGUUGACCGCCUGGGGAGUACGGUCGCAAGAUUAAAACUCAAAGGAAUUGACGGGGACCCGCACAAGCGGUGGAUGAUGUGGAUUAAUUCGAUGCAACGCGAAAAACCUUACCUACCCUUGACAUGUCCAGAACCCUGCAGAGAUGCGGGGGUGCCCGAAAGGGAAUUGGAACACAGGUGCUGCAUGGCUGUCGUCAGCUCGUGUCGUGAGAUGUUGGGUUAAGUCCCGCAACGAGCGCAACCCUUAUCAUUAGUUGCUACGCAAGGGCACUCUAAUGAGACUGCCGG
rnacentral:rRNA from 1 species